UUAAUUGUAUUUGAAUUGAUCUGGUAAUGGGGAAUAUGAACAGAUUUCAAACUGUAAUUGUAUAAAUUCUCCAUUGAUAAUUGGAGCUUUGAUUGAAUGUGUUGUAUUUUGGUUGAAAACUUGUUUUAAUUGUAUUAGAAUUGAUCUCAUAAUGUGGAAUAUGAAUAGAUUUCAAAUUGUAAUUGUACAAAUUCUCCAUUGAUAAUUGGAUUUUUGGUUGAAUGUGUGUUUUGAAUAAUUUUCUGUGGAAUUAGGGUCCGUAUAAAAUAGUGUUAAUAUAAAUAUAGAGUUGAUAUAUGUAGUUGUAUAACUUAUCUAUCGCAGUACAUAAUUGUAUAAAUUAGUUUUAGUGAAAUUGUUGUUUGAAUAUGUAUAAUUCAUUGAUGGUUAUAAUUUUAGUAGAAUUAAUGUCUGUAUAAAUUAUUCGUAAUUGUACAAAUAGAGACUUGAUAUAUGCAUUUGUAUAUAGGGGUGUUCACGGAUCGGUUUGGAUCGGUUAUUGGUAAAAAUCAAAACCAAACCAACUUAAUCGGUUCUAAAAUUAUCAAAACCAAACCAAA
rnacentral:lncRNA from 1 species